AUAAGUUUUCAGCAGGCAGAUCCAUUUUCUGCCACCGAAUACAUUAGCAUGGGAUAAUGGAAUAGGACCCUGUCCUCCUAUUUUCAGUUGGUUUUGGCAGCGCGAGGACUAGGGUAAUGAUUAAUAGGGAUAGUUGGGGGCAUUAAUAUUUAAUUGUCAGAGGUGAAAUUCUUGGAUUUAUGAAAGAUUAACUUCUGCGAAAGCAUCUGCCAAGGAUGUUUUCAUUAAUCAAGAACGAAAGUUAGGGGAUCGAAGACGAUCAGAUACCGUCGUAGUCUUAACCAUAAACGAUGCCGACCAGCGAUUAGGAGACGUUGAAUACAAAACACCACCAUCGGUUGCGGUCGUCCUUGGCGUCUCGGUUUCGGCCGGGGCGCGGGGACGGUUUAGCCCGGUGGCACCGGUGAAUGACUCCCUAGCACUUUUGUGAGAA
rnacentral:rRNA from 1 species